CACGUAGGGUGCGAGCGUUGUCCGGAAUUAUUGGGCGUAUAGAGCUCGUAGGCGGUGUGUCGCGUCGGCCGUGAAAACCUGCAGCUUAACUGUGGGCUUGCGGUCGAUACGGGCAUCACUGGAGUUCGGCAGGGGAGACUGGAAUUCCUGGUGUAGCGGUGAAAUGCGCAGAUAUCAGGAGGAACACCGGUGGCGAAGGCGGGUCUCUGGGCCGAUACUGACGCUGAGGAGCGAAAGCGAGGGGAGCGAACAGG
rnacentral:rRNA from 1 species